GUCUCUGGCAGCGGCCAGAAAAGCUUCAGGAAAGCACAGAACAACAGAACAAGCAUAAAGUAAUACUUUCCCCACUCCAUCCUCCUCACAGAGAAUGUUGGGGAUGGCAGACCUGUGCUUUCAUCAGCUCCCAAGCCUCCUGCUGACAAAACUGCACCUCUGUGAUCCCACUCAACCAGCUUUUGGCCCAGCUACCCAGCCAGAAUAAAGCUACCUGGAACUACUGCUUGGUUCAGGAGCAAACCACUCUGAAAAGGUUGUGCAUACAUCUUACUUCAAAACUUCUAUGUGACCUUUCCCACUGAUGUCAGGCUUGUGCACAGGAGAGCAAGCCACAGAGCCCCAUGUCUCGUCUGUUUGUCCCAGCCACCAGGUGCUUUCUGACGGACAUGCAGAGAUCAAAUAAACGAAAUCCCACUUUACUACAGAAAGAGAGACCUGUCACCAUGGUGCUGGGCUCAGAGAGCUGCAGAGCAAAAGCUUCACCAAGCCGUAUGGCUGAAUUGUUCCCUUCUUGGUCGCCCAUUAAAAAAAUCUAAAUGGAAGAUGAGAAGCUGCCUGCUUUAGGUUCAUGUAUGAAUAAUUAUAGGUACCUGCACUAGCAAGGGACUUUCUGAAAGACGAGUAAAGAGCUGGGCCUCUUCAGGGAAUCUGUGGCAAGCAGGUCAUUCAAAAAUAACUUUUGGAGGCUAUGGGAAGUGGGUGAAAUGAAGUAACAAACAGCUUCUGAAAAAAACAGCCGAUGAAAGGGAGUGUUUCAUCUGAUAUCACAAACUGUUAGUUUUCAUUCUGAUCCUGUUGUUUUCUUCUUUAUAUAGCUCAUAGAGUGCCCUUAAGUUGUCUCCAAAGGAUAUUAAUUUUCCACUGGCAUCAGAAAGGCUGAAGUGAUACUUGCAAUGAGGGUAAAUGACUCCCUUGAGGUUUUGGCACCCACAGCUCUGGACUAACUGGAAACACAGGCAAUUAAUAAAUCAGAAAAUCAGUGCCUCUCGGCCUUCACUGCUCCAGGGAAGCCAACGGGAGCUUUGUCAGUAGGACUAGGAGACUAGACCAAGACCACAAAGCGUGCCCCAUUAAGGACUUGCAUGUGGAAAAGCUCAGCUGUCUACAAUGAAUGCCAGCUCUUAAAAGUUCUGAUCAAGGUCUGAAGUAGACUGAAGCAGAAAACACUGAACAAGAACUGGGAUCCACCACAAACAGGGAGGUGGCUUCAGCCACUAUGGGAGGACUGCUGCAGCCACAUGGUGAUGCUGAGUGAAGCUCACCAGCAAGCAGAAAAUACAACUGGUUCUUGCUCUCAGGGAUGUAAGGCCAUCUCAGAUAGUAAUGUCUAAGGCAUCAAAACUUAUUCCUUGUGAAGCCCAGGUGAUAACUGGUAAUUAAGACUGUAACAGCCACAAUCUGUGAUAUGCUGUCAUCUACACAAAAUCUACCUGAUUCCAGCUCAUCUGGAAGCAAAAACAUCACUAUGAUUGCUGAGAUAGGAAUUGAAAGCCAUAUGCUGAAAGCCAGCCUGUUUCUCAGGGUCCUCUUAAAGUUUUCAUGCUGGCUGAAAGUAGAUCAUAAGCUCUGUGGCACUUGUCACCAUUAUUUUACCUCCUUUUUUUGUGUGUGUGCAGAGAACCGUUUGCAAUGUGAAAUAGUGCUAGACAUUGCCAAAAAAGCCAACCAAACACCCUGCUUAUGCUACUUGGAUGAAAGACAUCUUUAGAAGAUGGACUCCGGGGGACAAACAAAUAAUACCAACAAAGUACGUGUAUAUACACACAGCCCUAUACACGCUUGUAUCUCAGUUGUAGAGUUCUCUUCCUCACCAUCGAUUACUAACUCGCUGUUUUCUUUCCAGAAAGAAAAAGUCCUUGACAGAAUUUAAGCGAUGAGUAAUGAAUCUGCUUUCCUCCAUUCCAGCUGCUACACAGGCACAUACAUGAGUCCCUGGCCCUGCAAAUUUGAACAUUUUAACCUUGUCUUGUGUUCUGUGCCUCUCCUGUCACCUAAUGUUGUUGCAGUUAGUGCACUCUUAAGUCAGGUCUACCUCUCUCAGUAGCUAGGGCAAAUGUAUUUACAGGAAGCAAGAAAAUACACUUAUAAACAGCAGUAUGUGUCUGGGGAUAAUGUCAGCACUUCAACCAGAGUCUUGCUAUUCUCUUGGCGUUGUCAUCGCUGGAUCCUCUGCCCUUCCUUACACGUGGGCUUGAGGAGGUGGUUGUUUUGGCUGGAAUUAGAGAGGCACAGGUGGUAUCACCAGCUGUAAAUUGGAGGAGGCACUUCCUGAUUAUGACCACUGCCUACACAUAAAUCACUGCCAAGAGAGGAGCUGAGAAGCAUAGAAGCCUUCUCCUUACUUGGAAAGAGGGCCUCAAGUGUAGUCAGAAUUCCCCUGUUCUGUGUUUUUUUUUUCACCUAUAGGUUUCAGGGUCCUUUGUGGGCUCUUGGCUUCCCAAAAUGAUGUGACAUGGAAAACCCUCAGCUGAGUUUGACAUGUGGAUAAACCAAAGCAUCAAGUACUUGCGCAUCUAACAC